rnacentral:rRNA from 1 species
AGGAAUACUUACCUACUCUACCUUUUCGUGGGACAUCACGUAAGGAAACUUACACUCAUAACGCAUAAUACCUUCGCGGUGAAAACACGGGACCUUCGGGCCUUGCCCGCCAUAUAUGAGACGAUCUCGCAUUACCUUGUUGGCGUGGUGAAGGCCCACCUCGGCGACGAUACGAAGCUGGUCUGACAGGAUGAUCAGCCCCACUGCAACUGAAACGCGGCCAGACUCCAACCGGACGGAACGCUGGGGAAUAUUGUACUAUGGGCGCAAGCCUGAUCCGACCGUACCGCGCGGGUGAAGAAAGCCUUCUGGUUGUAAAGCCCUUUUGUUGGGAAAGAAAAGCACUCGAUUAGUACUCGGUUGGUCUGACCGUGCCCGAACAAUAAGCACCGGCUAACUUCAUGCCCGCAGCCGCGGUCAUACGAAUGGUGCAGUCGUUACUCUUAAUUACUGGGCGUGAAGCGUGCGCACGUGGUUGUUUAUUUCUGUUGCGGAAGCCCUGGGCUCCACCUCAGCCUUGCAGUGUAUACGGAGCCAGUAGAAUGUGAUAGAAGAUAAUGAAAUUCC